rnacentral:rRNA from 1 species
GUGCCAGCAGCCGCGGUAAUACGAAUGGGGCAAGCGUUGUUCGGAUUUACUGGGCGUAAAGCGGGCGUAGGCGGCCGGCUAAGUCGGAUGCGAAAUCCCGGGGCUCAACUCCGGAACUGCAUUCGAUACUGGUCGGCUAGAGUUCGAGAGGGGGAUGCGGAAUCCCGCGUGUAGCAGUGAAAUGCGUAGAUAUGCGGAGGAACACCUGAGGCGAAGGCGGCAUCCUGGAUCGACACUGACGCUGAGGCCCGAAGGCGUGGGGAUCAAACAGGAUUAGAUCCCCUGGUAGUCCACGCCCUAAACGAUGUCUACUAGCCGUUGCGGGUAUCGACCCCUGCAGUGGCGCAGCUAACGCGAUAAGUAGACCGCCUGGGGAGUACGGCCGCAAGGUUAAAACUUAAAUGAAUUGACGGGG